rnacentral:rRNA from 1 species
UGGGGAAUAUUGGACAAUGGGCGCAAGCCUGAUCCAGCCAUGCCGCGUGAGUGACGAAGGCCUUAGGGUUGUAAAGCUCUUUUGGCGGGGAAGAUAAUGACGGUACCCGCAGAAUAAGCUCCGGCUAACUUCGUGCCAGCAGCCGCGGUAAUACGAAGGGAGCUAGCGUUGUUCGGAAUCACUGGGCGUAAAGCGCACGUAGGUGGAUAGUUAAGUGAGGGGUGAAAGCCCGAGGCUCAACCUCGGAAUUGCCUCUCAUACUGGCUGUCUCGAGGUCGAGAGAGGUUGGUGGAAUUCCUAGUGUAGAGGUGAAAUUCGUAGAUAUUAGGAAGAACACCAGUGGCGAAGGCGGCCAACUGGCUCGAUACUGACGCUGAGGUGCGAAAGCGUGGGGAGCAAACAGGAUUAGAUACCCAUGUAGUCCCUGAGCGGGCUGGCAAGGCGCAU